rnacentral:lncRNA from 1 species
UUUCUUCGGACCCCAAAUCCAAAUCAAAAUCAAAACGGGGAUUUCUUCGAACCCCAAAUCUAAAUCGAGAUAAAAAAGGGGAAUUUCUUCGAACCCUAAAUCAAACCAAACCAAAACCCAAAUAAAUAAAAUCAAAAUCAAAUCCAAACCCAAACCCAUAUCAAGUCCACAUCCAAACUUAACCCAAACCAAGUCCACAAAUAAACCCAAACCCAAACCAAAUCAAAUCAAACCCAAACGAAACCUAACCCAAACCAAGUCCACAAAUAAACCCAAAUCCAAACCAAAUCAAAUCCAAAAUCAAACCAAACCAAAAUAAAAUCCAAACCAAAUCAAAUCCAAACCCAAACCCAAACCCAAACCCAAAAUCAAAUACAGUCCACAAAUAAACCCAAACCCAAAAUCCAAAUCAAAUCCAAACCCAAAACCAAAUACAGUCCGCAAAUAAACCCAAACCCAAAACCCAAAUCAAAUCCAAAUCUAAACCCAAAUCAAGUCCACAUCCAAACCUAACCUAAACCAAGUCCACAUAAAGAACCCAAACCCAUUCCACAAAUAAAAUCCAAACCCAACCUAAACCAAGUCUAUAAAUAAAACCAAAAUCCAAACCGAAACCCCAACCCAAAAUCAAAACCCAAACCCAACUCAAAUCAAAUCCACAAUCCUAAUCUAAACCCAAAACCCAAAUCCAACUUCCAACUUAAGCUUAUGAACCUAAACCAUACCUAAGUUCGUGAACCAAAUCCCAAAUCCUAUAUCCAAGUUCAUGAAUCAAGUCUCAUAAACCAAAACUCAUAAACCAAGUUCAUGAACCACGAACCAUAUCCAUGAACCUUACUUAAGUUCGUGAACCAAACACCACAGAUCAUAACCUAAGUUCAUGAAUCAAGACCCAUGAACCAAAAUAAACCAAGUUCAUGAACCAUGAACCAAGUCUAUGAACCAUAUCCAAAUUCAUAAACCAAAUCUCAUAUACCCAACUUCAUAAAUCAUAAACCAAGUUCAUGAAUAAUGAAUCAAGUCCAUAAAGCAAGAUUCAUGAGCCAAGUUCGUAAACCUCACUCAUGAACCAUAUCCAAGUUCAUGAACCAUAUCCAAUAUACCCAAUUUCAUAAACCAUAAACCAAGUUCAUGAAUCAUGAAUCAAACCCAUAAAUCAAGAUUCAUACACCAAACCUCAUACACCAUAUCCAAGCUCAUGAACUCGAUCCACAUACUCAACUACAUGAGUCAUGAACCAAAUCUCAUGGACCAUACAACCAUACACCAAGUUCAUGAACCAUGAACCAUGAGCCAAGUUCAUAAACCUUAUCCAUGCACCAUAUCCAAGUUUAUGAACCAAAUCCCAUACACCAAACCUCAUAAACUAAACUCAUAAACCAUAUACCAAGUUCAUGAACCAUGAACCAUGAACCAUGAACCAUGAUCCAAGUUCAUAAACAAAACCAAACCAAAUCUCAUGAACCAAAUCCCAAAAACCAUAUACUGUUUGAAGUGAAAAAAAUAAAAAAUUUUCUAAUCAUAAUCGAAACCGAUUAGAUUCAGACUCAAACAAUUUUGAUACGUCUCAUGUUGAUCAGAAAAUUUUGAGGCUAAUAAUUAUAAUUUAAAAUCCACAAUAGGCCCAUUCAUAAAUGUGAAUUAAUGGGCCUCAUGAAAGCCCUUUAAAAUUUUAGGCCUAUACAAUAAUUCGGGCCUCAUCUCAGCCCAAUGAAUAUUUGUGCCCAACAAGUUUCAUCAAAAUGGGCCCAAUUUCAGCCCAAUUCAUGGGAUCACGGUCCACAUUUUCACUCACGUUUGAAAAUUCAAUUUUGAAUAUCAUAUUCAAAUUCGAUUUUAAAUUUUUAAACCUCCAGAAAAUAUCUGUUAUCCUAACAACCCUAUUCGAAAUUCAAUUUCGAACUUCGAACCAAUUCCCAAAAUAUCCUUCAACCAUCCAACAACCGAUUCAAAAUUCGAUUUCGAAUUUCGAAUCUCCAACCAAUUCCCAAAAUAUCUUUCAACCAUCCAACAACCCAUUCAAAAUUUGAUUUCAAAUUUUGAAUUCUCAACAAAUUUCCAAAAUAUCCUUUAACCAUCCAACAACCGUUCAAAAUUUGAUUUCGGAUUUCGAAUCCCCAACCAAUUCUCAAAAUAUCCUUCAACCAUCCAAUAACCGAUUCAAAAUUCGAUUUCGAAUUUCGAAUCCCCAACCAAUUCCCAAAAUAUCCUUCAACCAUCCAAUGACCCAUUCAAAAUUCAAUUUCGAAUUUCGAAUUCCCAACCAAUCCCAAAAUAUCUUUCAACCAACUACAACAACCUAUUCAAAAUUUGAUUUUGAAUUUCGAAUCCCUAAUCGACUCCCCAAAAUAUCCUUCAACCAUCCAACAACCUAUUCAAAAUUCGAUUUCAAAUUUCGAAUUCCCAACCAAUUUCCAAAAUAUCCUUCAACCAUCCAACAAACCAUUCAAAAUUCGAUUUCGAAUUUUGAAUUUUCAACCAAUCCCAAAUAUCUUUCAACCAACCAUAACAACCUAUUUAAAAUUCAAUUUCGAAUUUUGAAUCCCUCAAAAUAUCUCUCACCACCCCUCCCAUUAUAAAUACAAGAAUCGAGAUCAAUACGGGGGAUGAUACACGAUACAAUUUUACGGAGAAGAAAAAAAAAAAGAUCAUUGAGCCGCCGAAAGGAUGAGAGAUCACUGGAGCCGCUAAAAGGAGAAGAGAUCGCCGAGCCGCGAAAAGGAGGAGAGAUCACUCGAGCCGCUGAAAGGAGAAGAGAUCGUCGAGCAGCGAAAAGAAUGAGAGAUCAUUGAGCCGCUUCAUCCAAUCUAUCAACAGAUAGUUAAAAAAAAAAAAUGAGAGAAAGAAAGAAGAUAAAACAAUAAUAAAACACACAAAAAAAAAAUUCUCUUGUUCCCCCCUCCUCUUUUUUUUUUUUUUUUUGGUCCUGCUACCGUAGUCAUACAUACCGUCUAAAUAACUUCGAUAGGAGAGUGGAGGGGAGCCAAUGGCUUCCCGUUUUUUCGAACCUCUCAAUACCCCAUUCGAAGUUGUUGAGGAUGGAAUAGGUCAUCUACAUUGCCGCGACCAACCCAACAUCGAUGGCUUGAUAGUUUCGAAAGAAGGGGGGAGAAGAAUCUGAUCCCCGUUUCUUCGAACCCUUCAACAUUUCUUCGAAAAUGUCAAAUCAAAUUCGAUGGCCGAACAGAUCCACGCCACCGUCAUCAACUUUACCUAUGACAUCUACAGCAUUGCCAGUUUGAUACUUUCGAAAGAAGAGGAAAGGGGAAUCUUUGAUUCUCUGUUUCUUCGGACACUUCAACAUUUCUUCGAAAAUAUCAAAUCAAAUCCGACGGCGAAACAAAUCCGCACUACCGUCAUCAACUUCAUCGACAUCAUCUACAACACCGACGGUUUGAUACUUACGAAAGAAGAGGGGAGGAAAAUCUUUGAUUCCCCGUUUCUUCGAACCCUUAAACAUUUCUUUGAAAAUGUCAAAUCAAAUUCGAUGGCCGAACAGAUCCACGCCACCUUCGUCAACUUCGUCGACGUCAUCUGCAGCAUCGCAAGAAGAGCGGAGAGGAAUCUUUGAUAGAUUCCCCGUUUCUUCGGACCUCAAAUCAAAAUUAAAACGAAAAUUUUUUCGGACCCCAAAUCCACAUAAAAACACAAACCGAAUCAAGUUCACAUAAGAACCCAAACCAAACCAAGUCCACAUACAAACCCAAACCAAACAAAAACCCAAAUAAAAUCCGAACCCAAAUCCAAAUCAAAUCCAAAUCCAAAUCCAAAUCCAAACCAAAACGCAAAUAAAAUCCUAACCCAAAUCCAAACCAAAUCAAAUCCAAACCCAAAACCAAAUACAGUCCACAAACAAAACCCAAACCCAAAACCCAAUUCCACAAAUAAAUCCAAACCCAAACCAAACCAAAACCCAAAUAAAAUUCAAAUCCAAAUCCAAAUCAAAUCAAAUCCAAAUCCAAACCAAAUCCAAACCAAUUUAAAUCAAAUCCAAACUCAAACUAAACCCAAACCAAACCAAAACCCAAAUAAAAUCCAAACCCAAACCAAACCAAAACCCAAAUAAAAUCCGAACCUAAAUCUAAGCCAAAUCAAAUCCAAAUCCAAAUCAAGUCCACAAAUUCCAAAUAAAAUCCAAACCCAAACCCAAAACCGAAAUCAAAUCUCCAAACCAAAACCAAGUUUACAAAUUAAACCCAAAAUCAAAUACAGUCCACAGAUAAACCCAAAACCAAUCCAAUCCACAAAUAAAAUCCCAAACUCAAAUCCAAUCCAGACCACAAAUAGAAUCCAAAUCCGACUUCCAACUUGAAUCCAUACCCAAAUUCAUGAACCAAAUCCCAUAAAUCAUAAACCAAGUUCAUGAAGCUUACCCAAGUUCGUGAACCAAACACCAUAAACCAUACCCAAAUCCCAUAAACUAUGAAUCAAGUUCGUGAACCAAACACUACGAACCAUACCCAAGUUUAUGAACCAGAUCCCAUAUAUCAUUAACAAAGUUCAUGAAACUUACCCAUGUUCGUGAACCAAAUACCACGAACCAUACCCAAGUCCCAUGAACCAUACUCAAGUUCAUGAACCGAAUCUCAUGAACCAUAAACCACAUCUAUAAAUUAUACACUAAGUUCAUGAAUCAUAAACCAAGUUCAUGAACCAUACCUCAUGAAACAUAUUCCAUGAACAAUACCCAAGUUCAUGAACCAAGUCUCAUAAACCAUAAACCAAAUCCCAUAAACCAAGUUCAUGAAUCAUACCUCAUGACCCAUGAACCAUGAACCAUACUUAAGUUCGUGAACCGAGUCUCAUGAACCAUAAACCAAACCUAUAAACCAUACAACAAGUUCAUGAACCAUACUUUAUGAACUAUGAACCAUGAACCAUGAACCAUGAACCAAAUUAACCAAGUUCAUGAACCAUACACCAUGAACCGUAAACCAUACAGCAAGUUUAUGAAUCAUAAACCAAACCUCAUGAACCAUACACCAAGUUCAAAAACCAUGAACCAAAUCUAUAAACCAAGUCCAUAAACCUCAUAAACCAUAAAUCAAGUUCAUGAAUCAUGAAUCAUGAACCAUGAACCAAGUUCAUAAACCUAAUCCCAUAAACCAUACCAAAGCUCAUGAACUAAAUAUCAUGAACCAUACAUCAAACCCUAUGAGACAUAAACCUCAUAAACUAUACACCAUAUCACAUGAACCAUGCCCAAGUUCAUGAACCAAAUUUCAUAUACCAAACCCAAUGAACCAUAUUCAAGUUCAUGAAACAAAUUCAAUACCCAAAUCUCAUAAACAAUAAACCAAGUUCGUGAACAAAGUGAAUCAAGUUCAUGAACCAAGAACCAAAUUCAUAAACCAAGUCCAUAAACCUCAUGAACCAUAAACCAAGUUCAUAAACCUCAUCCAUAAACCAUAUCCAAGUUUAUGAACCAAAUCCCAUACACCAAACCUCAUGAACCAUAAACCAUAACCAAAGCCCAUGGACCAAAUCCCAUGAACCAUAUACCAAACCUCAUGAAUCAUAUACCAAAUCCUAUGAGCCAUGCACCAAACUAUAUCCAAAUCUCAUGAACCACAUGAACUAUAUCUUAAACUCAUGAACUGAAUCAUGUUCAAUACCCAAAUCUCAUAAACCAAUAUUCAAAUCUUAUGAACCAAUAUCCAAAUAUCAUGCCCAAAGUUCAUUAUGAAUCUUUUUUUUACUCUAGCUCAUAUACCUAGAGUAAAAAUUAAAUAGCGACUACCCUUAAUACAUAUACUUAGAGCUAAGUCAAUCGCCUUAGCACAUAUAACUAAGGCAAAACGAUCUCCAAAUCGACAUAGUUCUAAAUUAUAUACUUAGAAUUCAGUUAAAUGAUAUCAAGUUCAUUCGAACUCUAACACAUACUUAGAGUUCAUCCGACUACACCACAUCCCAUCCUCUGAACCAUACACCACAUCCCAUCCUAUGAGCCAUACACCAAACCAUACCCAAAUCUCAUGGACUAUAUCCAUGAACCAAAUCUCAUAAGCCAAUACUCAAAUCUCAUGAACAAUAUCGAUUACCCCUAAUACAUAGAGCUAAGUCAAUCGCGUUAGCACAUAUAUUAAGGCAAAACAUCUCCAAAAUCGACAGAGUUCUAAACUAUAUACUUAGAAUUCAAUCACAUGAUAUUAAGUUCAUUCGAACUCUAACACAUAUACUUAGAGUUCAUCCAACUAACCCUAAUACAUACCCUUAGGGUCUGGUCAACCUUUUACUCUAGCACAUAUACCUAGAGUGGAAGUCAAACAAAGCUCAACUAGUCCUAACACAUACACUUAGGGCCUAGUCAGCCUUUUGCUCUAGCACAUCUACCUAGAGUGAAAUCCAUACCCGAUCGAGCUCUAAUAUAUAUACUUAGAGCUUAUGCAAAUCAAAUCCGACGAAGCCUAACAUAAUACCUCAGGACUUAGUCAGAUCUUCACUCUAGCACAUAUAACUAGAGUGAACAAUAUAUUAAACUCGUUUAAUCCUGAUACAUACACACAGGAAUUAGCCACGAUCUCUACUUUCGGGUAAUAUCAAAUCCGACCUACCUCAAUACAUAUACUUGGGGUUUGGUCACUCUAAGACAUAUACUUAGAGCCAAUUAGACUCUAAUACAUAGAGUUUAAUAUCGAUUACGUCUUAACACAUAUACUUAGGACCUAGUUAAUUUCAAAUUCAACUGAAUCUUAAUACAUAUACUUAUGAUUCAAUAAACCAAGAUACGAUUUAUUUAAUCCCAUCUAUAAAGGUUUCUUAAUCGAAGGUACCCCAAUCUACAGAGAGUAAUUAACAAUAAAUGCUUACAUCUAUUAGAAGCCAUGGACCCGCAAUACCUGAUACCCACAUACAUAUAGAUACUUAUCUGAAUCAUGAAUACUACUCCACACAGCCAAAUCCAUCGACCGUGCGAUGUGCAUCAUUCGUGGUGGCAGACAAGUCGUCCCCCUUCCUUGACAGCAGCUCACACCCAUUCCGAAAGAUAAACUGUCAU